GGCUUUCAUAUCUUGCAAUCUACCUGACAAAUAAUUUAUAGUCCGGGCCCUGCAUUCCAUGGACCAACCAGACCAGAACACUCCCAGAGUUUUCAGAUGGCACUAAGCAAGCAAAAGAAGAAGUGGGAUGUAAAAACAUAUUUGAACGAGGAUCACCAAAACAGGAAUGCCGGCUCUACUAUUCCUGAGUGGGAUCCCCUUGGCGGCAGCCUGCACCCCUCCAGUGAUGAGACAGAGUCCUCUUCCCUGUACAUCACGGUCCCCCCUGCAGCCAGAGAGUUCACAGCCUUCACUGGAAUUUUUCCUAAAUGCUGAAAGGCCAGAUGAAGUCAGCCUCCUGUUCUUUGAAUGGCCCAUGAGGUAAGAAGUUUUUGCAUUUUUAAAU